rnacentral:lncRNA from 1 species
AAGCAUGGAAAAAGCUAAGGAAGGAGGCCUGCUUGUCUUUGCCCACAUCGAAGCAUCUGAUGAAUAUGCCGUUGGCUUCGGCAAACCCCCAUCAAUAAAACAUAGUUUAUUCUUCGCAUGAAGUGCAUUAGUCAUGGCAUGAACCCAAAUGAGAUAAUUUUCUACAAAUGUCACCAAGAUCAUCAUCAUAAAUUAAUUUUCGG